rnacentral:rRNA from 1 species
GAUUAACGCUGGCGGCGUGCAUAACACAUGCAAGUCGAACGAUGAAACUUUAAUGAACCCUUCGGGGAGAAUUAAAGCGGAUUAGUGGCGAACGGGUGAGUAACGCGUGAGUAACCUGCCUUACACAAGGGGAUAGCCUUUGGAAACGAAGAAUAAUACCCUAUAAAACCAUAAAAGCACAUGCAAUUAUGGUCAAAGUGAUAGCGGUGUAAGAUGGACUUGCGUCUGAUUAGCUAGUUGGUGAGAUAAAAGCCCACCAAGGCAACGAUCGGUAGCCGGCUUGAGAGAGUGUACGGCCACAUUGGGACUGAGACACGGCCCAGACUCCUACGGGAGGCAGCAGUGGGGAAUUUUGCACAAUGGGGGAAACCCUGAUGCAGCGACGCCGCGUGAUUUAGAAGGCCUUCGGGUUGUAAAAAUCUUUUGUAUAGGAAGAAAAUGACAGUACUAUACGAAUAAGGUCCGGCUAAUUACGUG